AUGUUACUAACAGAACAGAAAUCCCAAGUGACGAGUGGGAAUCUAGAGGUGAAUGGCUUUAAUCAGGGCUCACUUGUAUCAGAAAAUUGUAUAUACCAUUACAUGGAUUUAUUAACGCUGGGCUAUGAUUGUGGUGUUAACGACAUAUUUAAGAGUCAUAUUAAUGAUGUAAAUAAAACAGAUAGAAAUGCAAACUUUUGCCCAUUUUUCUUAAAGGAGAGACAUUCAGAUGCCAUCAGCCAUUGUUUUCUUGUUAUAAGUCACCAUUUGAAGUGCUUUGGACAAAACAGGUGGAGAUCUUCUCAAAGUAACUGGGACACCAUCCAUGAAAACUCCACUGGAAUGAAUGGCAAUUUCAUGGUAAUUCGUGCAAACAUUACUCUCAUCUUCCGGCAAGGUUAUCCAAGGAUAAAAGUUAUAAAAAGCAGGUAUUCAAAUUAACUUCUUAGUUUAAUUGACUGAAGGUCUGUACAGUGUCUCCCUUGCUUAUCUCUUUGCAUUCACAUAUUUAAAAAGUAUAAAAAUGCAGUCUUUUUUUUUGCAUUUAAUAGAUAAAUUAAGAAAUUAAGUAUUACAUUACACAGUAAAAAGUUAAAGGAUUACUGACACGUGAGACUGAAUGAUUCAUUAUGCAAUAAUAUACAUUAAGCAAUGAGCAGAUGUUAAUGAAUUCUAUUAAAAUGAAAGAGCAUUUAUAUUAUUACAUUGUGAUUCUGAAAUCCAUAGGUAUUUUGGAAAGAGAUGGAUAGCUAUUAGAUCGCUCAGUCUGCCUGGUGCCACUAAAACUUGUUUGUAUAACUAAUUUGUUUUACGAAUCUGCACGGUAGGAUGUGAACAUUGUCAAAAUCACUUUGCAGAUUGCACACCGCCAUAGAUUUGCAAUGAAACUGGCACUGAAAGACUGUUUAUGAUAGAAGAUAUAGGGAAAAAACCUAAUAAUUCAAACUCUUGGUAUGUCCCUUGGUACGUUUCUCAAACACAAAUUUCAAGGAAAGUUUAAAAAAAAAAAAAAAGUUCAGGUUUGUCUGCAUGUUGGUCUUUGGUGUAUCCCACAGUAGCUGUAAUCAACAGUUUAUACCUCCUCUUUUGCUUCGGAAAAUAUUUCAAAAGUCUCUUGAUUUUACAAGGUGAUAGAGUGUGGGGGUCUAGAUAUCUAUAUAGAGAAAGAUAAAAAAAAAAACACUCUACUAUUGCAAACAUGGCUCUUACCAAGUUUUACAAUAAUCUUACAAAUGAGUAACAAUUGUUUAUGAAAAAUUCAUGGCCAACAAAGACUGCUGCUAGGAU
rnacentral:lncRNA from 1 species